rnacentral:rRNA from 1 species
UACGAGAGGCCCAAACGUUAUUCGGAAUUACUGGGCUUACAGAGUUCGUAGGCGGCUCAGAAAGUGGGGUGUGAAAGCCCUCGGCUCAACCGAGGAACUGCGCUCCAAACUCCCUGACUCGAGGAGGCUAGAGGUAAGCGGAACUGAUGGUGGAGCGGUGAAAUGCGUUGAUAUCAUCAGGAACACCGGUGGCGAAGGCGGCAU